GGGUGCCUACGGGACGCAGCAGUGGGGGAUAUUGCACAAUGGGGGAAACCCUGAUGCAGCGACGCCGCGUGAGUGAAGAAGUAUUUCGGUAUGUAAAGCUCUAUCAGCAGGGAAGAAGAUGACGGUACCUGAAUAAGAAGCCCCGGCUAACUACGUGCCAGCAGCCGCGGUAAUACGUAGGGGGCAAGCGUUAUCCGGAUUUACUGGGUGUAAAGGGAGCGCAGACGGCAGUGCAAGUCUGGAGUGAAAGCCCGGGGCCCAACCCCGGAACUGCUCUGGAAAC
rnacentral:rRNA from 1 species